AAAGUGCGAUACGCACUGUGAAUUGCAGAAUUCAGCGAAUCAGUAGAUUUCUCAACGCAAAUGGUGCUAAGUGACUUGCUCACCUAGCAGGCAUACAUCAGCGUUGCACUUAAUGCACUUACCCUGCAUUUCUGUUUGACGUCAAUUAUUGGCGUACUAGAUGUAAGCUUCGCUAAUGUUAACUGGCGAAUUUGUAGAUGCUCGACAAUAGCAACACACACACUGUUCUUGAUGUUUGAGCGUCAUACUUAACCAACCUGAGGUAUGUUAGACUACCCGCUGAACUUAA
rnacentral:misc_RNA from 1 species